rnacentral:rRNA from 1 species
UACGGAGGAUGCAAGCGUUAUCCGGAUUUAUUGGGUUUAAAGGGUGCGCAGGUUGUUUGAUAAGUCAGUGGUGAAAGUCUGUCGCUUAACGGUAGGAUUGCCAUUGAUACUGUUAGACUUGAAUAUGGAUGAGGUAGGCGGAAUGUGUAGUGUAGCGGUGAAAUGCAUAGAUAUUACACAGAACACCGAUUGCGAAGGCAGCUUACUAAUCCAUCAUUGACGCUGAGGCACGAGAGCGUGGGGAUCAAA